rnacentral:rRNA from 1 species
CCUACGGGCGGCAGCAGUGGGGAAUAUUGGACAAUGGGGGCAACCCUGAUCCAGCCAUGCCGCGUGUGUGAAGAAGGCCCUCGGGUUGUAAAGCACUUUCAGUGAGGAAGAACGCCUGGUGGUUAAUACCCAUCAGGAAAGACAUCACUCACAGAAGAAGCACCGGCUAACUCCGUGCCAGCAGCCGCGGUAAUACGGAGGGUGCGAGCGUUAAUCGGAAUUACUGGGCGUAAAGCGCGCGUAGGUGGCUUGAUAAGCCGGUUGUGAAAGCCCCGGGCUCAACCUGGGAACGGCAUCCGGAACUGUCAAGCUAGAGUGCAGGAGAGGAAGGUAGAAUUCCCGGUGUAGCGGUGAAAUGCGUAGAGAUCGGGAGGAAUACCAGUGGCGAAGGCGGCCUUCUGGACUGACACUGACACUGAGGUGCGAAAGCGUGGGUAGCAAACAGGAUUAGAUACCUUUGUAGUC